GGCGGAGUGGUGUAGAGGUUAGCACCCCCGGCCGGACAUUAGGAGGCCCAGAGUUCAAAUCCCGGCUCCGCCG
rnacentral:tRNA from 1 species